UUUCACUUCCCUUCCUUUCACCCAGUUGCUUUUGUUCCCAUUAUAUUUUACUCUAUGCCGGACUCAUUUACUUUUCUAUCUUUCAGCAUUUUAGCAGAAAAACAGAUUGGGCAGUUAGUAAAUCCACACAGUUUUAUAGUGGAUUUAUACGCCACCUUCAGCACGAAGAACCAGCUGUUUUUCAUCAUGGAGUUUGUGGCAGGAGGCAGUUUAAGAACACACCUGAUGAGGAACAAGCACUUUGACCUAGAGAGAGCCAAGUAAGUAGGUGGAUAUUUGGGUUUAUGCUGCACUAAAUAUUAAGAUUCCUAUAUGAAUGCACCAUAUAAUGACCUAAUAAAUUUCCUUAACCUUGCAGGUUCUAUGCUGCAUGUAUUACCCUUGGUCUAGAAGGAAUACACACCAAGGAUGUCAUACACAGGUAAGAAUUAAUAAAGGGGUAGCUACCUUUAGUAGUGAAUACAACUGGGGGUUUGUAGCUGUUGCAAUUUAGUAGCAGUUACAGGUUGAAAGUAACUACUUGGAAAAAUAAGGGAAGGAAAUAGAAGUCAGAACCCUUUCUGCUUGGUUUAUGGCUCAGCUAUUUCACAGCAGUUUUAAUGUGUCCUAAUAUCUGCUUUUUUUCAAAACAGAGAUUUAAAGCCUGGGAAUCUCCUUGUGGAUCAAGACGGCUACAUCAAGAUCGCCGAUUUUGGGAUGGGCAAAACUGGUAAGGGACACCUUGUAUUAUUACACAGGGCAAAGAGGACUCAUGUAGGGCAUUCACUGGCAUAAAUGUCUUCAUAAAACUCACUAACAAUUAUUUUUUUUUUAAUCAAGGCAUCGGAUAUGGAGACCGCACCAACACCAUGGUUGGUAGUCCGGCUUAUAUGGCACCGGAAGUCGUGAUGGAGGAGGCGUACACAAGAGCAGUCGACUGGUGGGCUCUUGGCGUCAUCGUUUAUGAGAUGCUCCUCGGGACGAAACCCUUCACUGGAUACGACAGGGACUUUCUAUACGACUGCAUUGUUGAGGAUGAACCACACUACCCCUCAACCCUGGACCCUGAAGCCUUGAGCUUCAUAUCAGAGGUAAGCGCUGACCUUUCACUUUAUUACAAUCACUGACCACUUUCUAAUUCUCUUGAGUUUCCCCAAAUAUUCUGUAGGUGUAACUGCUAUUUUCUGUUCUUGUAGCUGCUGAAGAAGAAUCCUGAGGAGAGGCUGGGUUCUACCCCAGGGAAUGCUGCUGAUGUAGCAGAGCAUCCAUUCUUUAAUGGCAUUGUCUGGGAUGACAUCAUCGAGAGGACAGCAGUAGCUCCGUUCAUACCCAGCCUAAACGGACCAGAGGAUGUGGGGUAUUUUGAUGACGAAUAUACCAACCUGUCAGUGAAUCUGACCCAGCCCAAAGGACCCCCUGCUGAAAUGGCAAGCCAGAUCGAUGAAGCCUUUCAGGACUUUGAAUAUGCAGCAUUUUAAAUCCAAAGGGGAUGAUGGGUAAGGAAAAGCCAUGAAGAACAAAUCAGAACAAGAAAUGCCUGUCAUUAGAUUUCCUUGAGUUAUGGGUGCAGGGGCACUUAUAAAGAUGGUUAUGGGUAGCAGGCAUAUGCAAGGAGAAGGGGAUUCUAUAGAAAUAUUGGGAUGAUCCAUUAAAGCAGUAGAGAUUUUUAAAGCAGUAGAGCCAAUAAUCAAAAAAUAUUAUUUCCUGUGGAGUUGCCAGAGAAACCAAUAGGAUGUGUAUCUCUAUCAUUUUGGAAGAACACCACCAUAGAUUUCCCCCAAAAGUCAGAAAUCACGAAUGUGCAUGUGGCUUAAAAAUACAUGGGAAACCGUGAUUUGCAACUUUCAUCAAAAUCACAGAAUUUUGGGAAAGGUAGCAACCAUGCUCGGUCAAUAUUUUUAUUUUGCUUAACCUGUUAAAGGGUUUCUGUAGGAAUAGCACUUGCUAAAUUAAAAAAUAUGUGGAUUAAGUUCGAAAUUAUUUUGUUUGGAUUUUGCAGGCUGGUGUUCAGAAAAGGUACCAACUGACAGCUCCACCAAGUAAGAGUACCCCAAUUCCAUCAGAAGUGCCUUCUCCUCCAUUGAUCACAGCCUCACCAACAAAGCUUCUCCUUCUGUCACAAUGCAAUACCACCUGUAUUUCCCUGCCACCCACCAUAGUCCCACCAGUGGUACCUCCCUUUAAAGCCACCCACAGUACAACCAGCAGUGCCUCCCCUUCAACCAAAAUGUUUUUAUACACAGAAGCACCCAUAAGCCACGCGGGUAGACCCUUCAUUCCUCUUCACUCCAUCCCUCAGACUGCAGAGGUCGGGCCUGCAGGUUGCAGGGAAUCCAACGGAAUGGAGAGGAAUGCAGCAUUCACCUUGCGGCUUAAAGGUGCUUGUGUGUAUGUUGCCAUAUCCUUCUCUGUUUCCCUCACCCUGCUUCCCUUUUUCAUUUGGCGCUUGAUCCUGGGAGCAAAUCCGAUCGCCGUUAAGGGGUC